GAGUUUGAUCCUGGCUCAGGACGAACGCUGGCGGCGUGCUUAACACAUGCAAGUCGAACGGUAAGGCCCCAGCUUGCUGGGGUACACGAGUGGCGAACGGGUGAGUAACACGUGGGUGACCUACCCUGCACUUCGGGAUAAGCCUGGGAAACUGGGUCUAAUACCGGAUAGGACUACACCGUGAGGGUGUGGUGGAAAGUUUUUCGGUGCAGGAUGGGCCCGCGGCCUAUCAGCUUGUUGGUGGGGUAAUGGCCUACCAAGGCGGCGACGGGUAGCCGGCCUGAGAGGGUGGACGGCCACAUUGGGACUGAGACACGGCCCAGACUCCUACGGGAGGCAGCAGUGGGGAAUAUUGCACAAUGGGCGGAAGCCUGAUGCAGCGACGCCGCGUGGGGGAUGACGGCCUUCGGGUUGUAAACUCCUUUCACCAUCGACGAAGGUUUUCUGACGGUAGAUGGAGAAGAAGCACCGGCUAACUACGUGCCAGCAGCCGCGGUAAUACGUAGGGUGCGAGCGUUGUCCGGAAUUACUGGGCGUAAAGAGCUCGUAGGUGGUUUGUCGCGUCGUCUGUGAAAUUCCGGGGCUUAACUCCGGGCGUGCAGGCGAUACGGGCAUAACUUGAGUACUGUAGGGGAGACUGGAAUUCCUGGUGUAGCGGUGAAAUGCGCAGAUAUCAGGAGGAACACCGGUGGCGAAGGCGGGUCUCUGGGCAGUAACUGACGCUGAGGAGCGAAAGCAUGGGUAGCGAACAGGAUUAGAUACCCUGGUAGUCCAUGCCGUAAACGGUGGGCGCUAGGUGUAGGGGUCUUCCACGACUUCUGUGCCGUAGCUAACGCAUUAAGCGCCCCGCCUGGG
rnacentral:rRNA from 1 species